rnacentral:rRNA from 1 species
AUUACCUUCGGAGAAAGCCACGACUAACUAUGUGCCAGCAGUCGCGGUAAGACAUAGGUGGCGAACGUUAUCCGGAUUUAUUGGGCGUAAAGGAUGCGUAGAUGGUAGAAUAAGUUAUUGGUCGAUGCCAAACUCAAUUUGGCGGAAGCUGGUAAUACUGUUCGGCUAGAGGACAGGAGAGGUUGAUGGAAUUCUGUGUGGAGCGGUGAAAUGCGUUGAUCUACAGAGGAACACCAAAAGAGGCGAAGGCAGUCAACUAUUCUGUUCCUGACAUUGAGGCAUGAAAGCGUGGGGAGCAAACCGGAUUAGAUACCCGGGUAGUCCACGCCCUAAACGAUGAGCAUUAGAUAUUGGGCAUUUUGCUUAGUGUCGCAGCUAACGCUUUAAAUGCUCCGCCUGGGUACUACGGUCGCAAGGCUAAAACUCAAAGGAAUUGACGGGGACUCGCACAAGCAGUGGAGCAUGUGGUUUAAUCCGAUACGACGCGUAGAACCUUACCAAGGCUUGACAUGUUGGGCAAAGCUAGGGAAACCUAGUGGAGGUUAUCCUAACACAGGUGCUGCAUGGCCGUCGUCAGUUCGUGCCGUGAGGUGUAUGGUUAAGUCCUAUAACGAACGCAACCCUUGGGCUUAGUUGCCAGCAUUAAGUUGGGGACUCUAAGCCGACUGCCUGAGCAAUCAGGAGGAAGGAAAGGAUGACGUCUGGUCGUCAUGGCCCUUAUGCCUUGGGCGACACACGUGCUACAAUGGUUAACACAAAGGGAUGCCAACCCGCGAGGGG